rnacentral:rRNA from 1 species
GACAGAGGGUGCAAACGUUGUUCGGAAUUACUGGGCGUAAAGCGUGUGUAGGCGGCCAUGUAAGUCGGAUGUGAAAGCCCCGGGCUCAACUCGGGAAGUGCACUCGAUACUGCGUGGCUUGAGUACUGGAGAGGUUGGUGGAAUUCUCGGUGUAGAGGUGAAAUUCGUAGAUAUCGAGAGGAACACCGGUGGCGAAGGCGGCCAACUGGACAGAUACUGACGCUGAGACACGAAAGCGUGGGUAGCAAACAGG